rnacentral:tRNA from 1 species
CGAGUUAUAUCUUAGUGAUGGUAUUAUUUACAUUAAUAUUUUGGUUCGUGCAAUUCGGCCUAACUUGA